rnacentral:rRNA from 1 species
AGCAGCCGCGGUAAUUCCAGCUCCAAUAGCGUAUAUUAAAGUUGCUGCAGUUAAAAGCUCGUAGUUGAAUUUCGGGACUAUCAUGUCGGUCGUGCCUCGGUACGUACUGGCAUUGUUGGUUUCUACCUUCUGACGAACCAUGAUGUCAUUUAUUUGGUGUCGUGGGGAAUCAGGACUGUUACUUUGAAAAAUUAGAGUGUUUAAAGCAGGCUCACGCUUGAAUACAUUAGCAUGGAAUAAUGAAAUAGGACGUUUGAUUCUAUUUUGUUGGUUUCUAGGAUCGAUGUAAUGAUUAAUAGGGAUAGUUGGGGGCAUUAGCAUUCAAUUGUCAGAGGUGAAAUUCUUGGAUUUAUUGAAGACUAACUACUGCGAAAGCAUUUGCCAAGGAUGUUUUCAUUAAUCAAGAACGAAAGUUAGAGGUUCGAAGGCGAUCAGAUGCCGCCCUAGUUCUAACCAUAAACGAUGCCAACCAGCGAUCCGUCGGUGUUUAUUUGAUGACUCGACGGGCAGCUUCCGGGAAACCAAAGUGUUUGGG